AGGUUGGCAAACUGGCAGAACGUGUUGAUUGUGUGCUCUGGACUGACAAAGCAGAUAAACACACAGGGAAUGAGUGAUGCAAGUCUGAGACACUGAGAUCAGAAGUUGAAUUAACAUUACCGACGUACUCAGAAUAGCAGGGCCUUUGAAUUACCCGUGAUUUUUUUUUUUUUUUUUUUUGUAUAUUUUAAGCUAAUUUCCUAGCUAACUCUUGUGAUGUCUGGGCUGAUGAGGUGAAACCAGAGAGGCUGGAUAAAACCCACACAGACUCGGAGAGAACAUGCACAGAAAAAACACACAGACGAAACCAGAGCAUGGAUGAUCCAGAUUGCAACUUGCAAGAUCCUGUGUGUACAAAACAUACAAUUUGCCCACAUCUAAAGCUGAGACAACAUUUCCACUGGAACUUUUUGAAGAACUAUCCUAAAUUAGAGCUACACAGUUAAUGUAUUUCUGGUGCCCAUGAUGUAUAGUACAAUAAGAAAGCAUCCUGCGGAAUGGCUAAAAACACUGAGUGACCCAGAACUAAUAACAUUUAUAAAAUUGUACUUACUAAUUUUCUAUGGUAUCCAAGAGGUGCCCUGAGGAUACAGUAUAUUGUACAGUUUGAUAAAGCCAAGUGAAGAAAUAAAUGUUU